rnacentral:rRNA from 1 species
UACGGAGGGUGCGAGCGUUGUCCGGAAUCACUGGGCGUAAAGGGCGCGUAGGCGGCGCGGGAAGUCCGUGGUGAAAGCCCGAGGCUCAACUUCGGGUCGGCCAUGGAUACUCCUGGGCUCGAGCACUGUAGAGGCAGGUGGAAUUCCGGGUGUAGCGGUGGAAUGCGUAGAGAUCCGGAAGAACACCGGUGGCGAAGGCGGCCUGCUGGGCAGUAGCUGACGCUGAGGCGCGACAGCGUGGGGAGCAAACAGGAUAGAUACCCC